GUGGACACCUCAUUUUAAUUAUCUUAAUUUAAAGUCAAUCAUCUUCAUCUCCUUUCCAUAAACUGCCAUCCACCUCUUCACCAUUUUCUCUCAUUUGUUUCCCUUCCACUAUUAAAGCAUCAUCACCAAGCUUCCAACCACUUGCCUCCCUUCAUCAAUUUUAUUGGAAACCUUGAGAAACCUCCAUAUCCAUCCUUGAAGUGAAGAAAAGACACCAAUAUUUCAAGCAAGAAAUCUAGCCAGAAGCUGGACGCUAAG
rnacentral:misc_RNA from 1 species